AUACCUUUCUCGGCCUUUUGGCUAAGAUCAAGUGUAGUAUCUGUUCUUAUCAGUUUAAUAUCUGAUACGUGGCCCAUCGGGUCACACGAUAUUAAAUUAAUUUUUUUAGGGGGAAAGCCCAUUACGGCAGCUUGCUGCCGGGGUUUUCAAGCGUCGCCCAUGCGUUGCACUAUUGUACGGGCCUGGCGCACCCCAC